CGUAAGUUAUUUUUAAACUGUUAACUUGUGGUGUUAACAAUCCCAAAUUUAGGGCG
rnacentral:tRNA from 1 species